UCUCCCUUUCUCUUCAAUAUUCCGUCUCUUUUCUUCGAGUUUCUCCCCCAUUUUCUUCCGAAACCCUAACAUCUUCGCCCUCGUUCCCGAUCUCUUCAACUUAUUCUCAUCCGCCGUCUCCUUAUUCUCUUCCGCCACCGCCGCCUGAGGCGGUGACGGAGGUUGCGAACUCGGAAACCCAACGUUUUCUUCCACUACUGCCGCAUUUUGUUCCGUGCUUUCUAACAACGGCGUUUUCUCAUCAUUUUCAGUCGGUUUUUCAUCAUCAUCUGAUGAUGUUUGAUUGUGAGGUUGGGGACAGGGGACCUCGUGUGAGAUUGUUGGUUCUGUGGGGGGCUCGGGGUUGAGUUCCGGGUUGGCCCAGAUAAAUGGUGCAGAUUGUUGUGGGAUCCAAUCAUUCUUUUCGGCUAACAUGAAAUGAACUGUUGCACUUUCGCAGUUGGGGAGAACCAUGGUUUCACGAAUGGCUCCCUGUGGAAGUUAUUCAUUAGAAAGUAUCCGACACUAUGAACAUGUCAUAUCUAUGGCUAUGUAGUUAUAGCGGUCCAAAAUCAAAUAGCGGUCAUAUGAUAUAUAUAGGUUAUAGCGGUAAUUUUUAUACCAUGCAUAAUUUAUGUAUUUAUAUAUAUAAAUAUAUCUUUGAAAAAUAUUAAUAGUAAUAUCAUUCCAUUAUCAAAAACCUGUUGCAAAUCAAACACUAAUAGUAACUUUGAAGUAUUUAAUUUAAGAAUUAACACAAUCAAACACCGUUACUGCUAUAACCGCUAUAUAGGUUUCCAAAUAGCGGUAUUUAGCGCCGCUAAUAGUGGAACCGCUAUAGGCCACCAAUAUUUGGACAGCUACACACCCUGAGGUCCGCUAACCGCUAUAGCACCGCUAUUGACUGCUUAGAUCUCUGGUUAACCGGCGUUCAUUUCAGAACUAAUAACCAAUAACAAUGUGAACCAGUUUUGCUUUAAAAUUAGUUAUUAUGCGUUGAAUGCGUCUCAUUGUAAUAUAUAU
rnacentral:lncRNA from 1 species